AUGCUCUCCUGGCCCCAGGCUCGCCCCUCCAAGCGUGGGACGGGAAGGGCCGCGCUGCAGGAAAUAACCGAGGGCGGCCAGAGGUCGGAGCGGAGUGCGGCCCCGGGACCGCCCCGAUCCGGGUAUCCGCGCCCUGCCAGGACGGCCCCUUCCGGCUCCACCCGAAGCGUCGGGUGCCGGGGAUGCUGCGACUCGCAGGGCUCUGCGCCUCCGUAGGCCUGGCCGCCGCGGCCCGCGCCCCCGCUGCCCCGCGGGCCCCGGGCCCGCGCCUCUGCCUUCGCGCCGCGACCAUGGAGCGCCCCGCCGCGGGAGAAAUAGAUGCCAAUAAGUGUGAUCAUUUAUCAAGAGGAGAGGAAGGGACGGGGGACCUGGAGACCAGCCCUGUAGGUUCUCUGGCAGACCUGCCGUUUGCUGCCGUAGACAUUCAAGAUGACUGUGGACUCCCUGAUGUACCUCAAGGAAAUGUACCUCAAGGAAACCCAAAGAGAAGCAAAGAAAAUAGAGGCGACAGGAAUGAUCACGUGAAGAAGAGGAAGAAGGCCAAGAAAGAUUAUCAACCCAACUAUUUCCUGUCCAUUCCAAUCACCAACAAAAAGAUUACAGCUGGAAUUAAAGUCUUGCAAAAUUCGAUACUGAGACAGGAUAAUCGAUUGACCAAAGCCAUGGUCGGCGACGGCUCCUUUCACAUCACCUUGCUAGUGAUGCAGCUAUUAAACGAAGAUGAAGUAAACAUAGGUACCGACGCGCUUUUGGAACUGAAGCCGUUCGUUGAGGAGAUCCUUGAGGGGAAGCAUCUGACUUUGCCCUUCCACGGGAUUGGCACUUUCCAAGGUCAGGUUGGCUUUGUGAAGCUGGCAGACGGAGAUCACGUCAGUGCCCUCCUGGAGAUAGCAGAGACUGCAAAAAGGACAUUUCAGGAAAAAGGCAUCCUGGCUGGAGAAAGCAGAACUUUUAAGCCUCACCUGACCUUUAUGAAGCUGUCCAAAGCACCAAUGCUCUGGAAGAAGGGAGUGAGAAAAAUAGAGCCUGGAUUGUAUGAGCAAUUUAUCGACCACAGAUUUGGAGAAGAAAUACUGUACCAAAUAGAUCUCUGCUCCAUGCUGAAGAAAAAACAGAGCAAUGGUUAUUACCACUGCGAGUCUUCGAUCGUGAUCGGAAUGGAUAUGAAAAGACUCUUCAGAGAUGUUGGGUGUCACAAGUGAAACCUACCUUAAAGUGGUUUUUAAAGCUAAUUGAAGAAAGGUCCCUAAAGUAAAUUGAAGAAAUCCUCAAAUCUUCUGAACUUAGAAGUCGCCAAUGACUGUUGCAAAAGACAGAUAAAAAAGGGCUGAAAGCACUACUGGAUAACUUUGAGAAAGGGCUAUUUUCAGAUGGCCUGGAUGGACAUCAAAGAAAUCAAACUAACCCCUUAAAUAAAAAUUUAUUGACAAUAAAUAAUUAAAAAAAAAAGAAUUGUCUUGGUCAUGGUAUCUGUUCACAGCAAUGGAAACCCUAACUAAGAGGGGGGGACUCCACCUUUUUUAUUUUUUAUUUUUUUUGCUUAAUGAUAAUUAUUUUAUACUGAUUUGGUGACAUAGUACAGUGUGUUUACUCCUCUCUGAGAUAUCAUGAAAUAGAAUAAGACAUAGCCCUGGAGAAUGACACAGUGUCACUGGCAGCUGAGACAGCUUCCAAGAAACAGGAAAGAAGAGGGGAUAUUGUGAAAUAGAAUAAGACAUAGCCCUGGAGAAUGACACAGUGUUACUGGCAGCUGAGACAGCUUCCAAGGAACAGGAAAGAAGAGGGCUUGUUCCUGGCAGUAUGGGCUUUUGGUAUUGCACCAUGGAAGAACUUUGUAAUUUUGUCUUUUGGGAGAGACGAGGGGGAGGAGAAUUUAACUGAGCAUGAAGAAGGUGAGGGGUAGAGUAGAAGGUGUUUUAGAGCAUUGGGGAGGGAAGCAGUGGGCGGGGCUGAGAACCACAGCAGACACCUGUGAGCCAGCAGGAUCAGUGGGUGAGGAGCUGAAGACUGUGCUGGUUGGUGAGUGGACUGAUAGGACUGGUCAUGCUGAGGUGGUGAAAAUAUACCAAAGAGAACCAAAUGAAUAGUUGAGGGAUAAGUGGAGCUUAAUACUCAGGCUCUUACAGAUGCUUCUCAGCCCAAUAAACUUAUGUCAAGUUGAAAAUAAUGCAUUUAUUUACAUAACCUAAUGACCAUCGUAGCUUAGGCUGGCCCACUGUGGCAUGCAGGUUAUAACCUAUAGUUCUAUACAUUAUUUAACACAAAGCUGAGUGUGCACGUGUGUGUGUGUGUGUGUGAAGGUCAGAGGGCAAACUUGGGUGACAUUUCUCAGGAGCUGUCCACCUUUCUCUUUUUUCAGACAGGGUUUUUCAUUGGUCUUGAACUCACUAUGUAGGCUUAGCCGCUAGCCAGCAAAUCCCAGGGAUCUGCCUGACUCUGUUUCCCCAGAGUUGCAAUUACAAACAAGCCAAUUCCCCUAUCCUAUUUUGUUUUAUUUUAA